rnacentral:rRNA from 1 species
UGCAUGUCUAAGUGCAAGCCGCUUUAAGGUGAAACCGCGAAUGGCUCAUUAAAUCAGUUAUGGUUCCUUAGAUGGUGACCGGUUACUUGGAUAACUGUGGUAAUUCUAGAGCUAAUACAUGAAACACUGUCCCGACCCUUGCGGGAAGGGACGCUUUUAUUAGAUCAAAACCAAUCGGUCUCCUCUCGGGGAGCCGUUUGCCUUGGUGACUCUGAAUAAAUUGUUGCGGAUCGCACGGUCUAGUACCGGCGACGCAUCUUUCAAAUGUCUGCCUUAUCAACUGUCGAUGGUAGGUUCUUCGCCUACCAUGGUUGUAACGGGUAACGGGGAAUCAGGGUUCGAUUCCGGAGAGGGAGCCUGAGAAACGGCUACCACAUCCAAGGAAGGCAGCAGGCGCGCAAAUUACCCACUCCCGGCACGGGGAGGUAGUGACGAAAAAUAACGAUACGGGACUCAUCCGAGGCCCCGUAAUCGGAAUGAGUACACUUUAAAUCCUUUAACGAGUACCAAUUGGAGGGCAAGUCUGGUGCCAGCAGCCGCGGUAAUUCCAGCUCCAAUAGCGUAUAUUAAAGUUGUUGCGGUUAAAAAGCUCGUAGUCGGACCUGUGUCCCACGCUGCCGGUUCACCGCCCGUCGGUGUCCAACUGGCACGCACGUGUGGACGUCCUGCCGGACAAGGGUGUUUCUUUUUAAGUCUCAUCCCUGCCCCUCGCGGUGCUCUUAACCGAGUGUCUCGAUGGGCCGGCACGUUUACUUUGAACAAAUUAGAGUGCUUAAAGCAGGCAGCAGCCGCCUGAAUACUAGUGCAUGGAAUAAUGGAAUAGGACCUCGGUUCUAUUUUGUUGGUUUUCGGAAUCCCCGAGGUAAUGAUCAAUAGGGACAGACGGGGGCAUUCGUAUUGCGACGUUAGAGGUGAAAUUCUUGGAUCGUCGCAAGACGGACCGAAGCGAAAGCAUUUGCCAAGAAUGUUUUCUCUGAUCAAGAACGAAAGUUAGAGGUUCGAAGGCGAUCAGAUACCGCCCUAGUUCUAACCAUAAACGAUGCCAGCCAGCAAUCCGCCGAAGUUCCUCCGAUGACUCGGCGGGCGGCUUCCGGGAAACCAGAGCUCUUGGGUUCCGGGGGAAGUAUGGUUGCAAAGCUGAAACUUAAAGGAAUUGACGGAAGGGCACCACCAGGAGUGGAGCCUGCGGUUUAAUUUGACUCAACACGGGAAAACUCACCAGGUCCGGACACCGGGAGGAUUGACAGAUUGAGAGCUCUUUCUUGAUUCGGUGGGUGGUGGUGCAUGGCCGUUCUUCGUUGGUGGAGCAAUUUGUCUGGUUAAUUCCGUUAACGAACGAGACUCUAGCCUGCUAAGUAGUCGUAUCCGGUAUCCUCGCGCUACCGGCGACGUCACAUCUUCUUAGAGGGACAGGCGGCGUCCAGCCGCACGAGAUUGAGCAAUAACAGGUCUGUGAUGCCCUUAGAUGUUCUGGGCCGCACGCGCGCUACACUGAAGGAACCAGCGUGUCCUCCCUGUCCGAAAGGUCCGGGUAACCCGCUGAACCUCCUUCGUGCUAGGGAUCGGGGCUUGCAAUUGUUCCCCGUGAACGAGGAAUUCCUAGUAAGCGCGAGUCAUAAGCUCGCGUUGAUUAGGUCCCUGCCCUUUGUCCACACCGCCCGUCGCUACUACCGAUUGAAUGAUUUAGUGAGGUCUUCGGACCGGUGGGCGAGGGGUUUGCGCCUCUCGACUCCGCCGGGAAGAUGCCCAAACUUGAUUAUUUAGAGGAAGUAAAAGUCGUAACAAGGUUCUC